CAAGUCCGGCAGGGAUAAACGCUGAAGGCAUCUAAGCGUGAAGCCCCCCUCAAGAUGAGAUAUCCCUCAGAAAUGAGUAAGACCCCUUGAAGACUACGAGGUAGAUAGGAAUGAGGUGUAAGCACAGUAAUGUGUUCAGCUGACAUUUACUAAUCGGUCGAGGGCUUGACCAAA
rnacentral:rRNA from 1 species